rnacentral:rRNA from 1 species
UACAGAGGUCCCCCAAGCGUUGUUCGGAUUUACUGGGCGUAAAGGGUAGCGUAGGUGGUAGGGUAAGUUCAAGGUGAAAGCUUCGGGCUCAACCCGAAAAUUAGCCUCGAAUACUAUCCUGCUCGAGGGUCGGAAGGGAGACUGGAAUUCUCGGUGUAGCAGUGAAAAUGCGUAGAUAUCGAGAGGAACACCUGUGGCGAAGGCGAGUCUCUGGACGAUUCCUGACACUGAGGCACG